rnacentral:rRNA from 1 species
AAAGAAACCAACCGGGAUUGCCCCAGUAACGGCGAGUGAAGCGGCAAGAGCUCAAAUUUGAAAUCUGGCCCCUCCGGGGUCCGAGUUGUAAUUUGCAGAGGAUGCUUCGGGUGCGGCCCCCGUCUAAGUGCCCUGGAACGGGCCGUCAGAGAGGGUGAGAAUCCCGUCUUGGGCGGGGUGUCCGUGCCCGUGUGAAGCUCCUUCGACGAGUCGAGUUGUUUGGGAAUGCAGCUCUAAAUGGGUGGUAAAUUUCAUCUAAAGCUAAAUACUGGCCGGAGACCGAUAGCGCACAAGUAGAGUGAUCGAAAGAUGAAAAGCACUUUGAAAAGAGAGUUAAACAGCACGUGAAAUUGUUGAAAGGGAAGCGCUUGCGACCAGACUCGCCCGCGGGGUUCAGCCGGCACUCGUGCCGGUGUACUUCCCCGUGGGCGGGCCAGCGUCGGUUUGGGCGGCCGGUCAAAGGCCUCCGGAAUGUAUCGCCCUCCGGGGCUCUUAUAGCCGGGGGUGCAAUGCGGCCAGCCCGGACCGAGGAACGCGCUUCGGCACGGACGCUGGCAUAAUGGUCGUAAACGAC